UCCACUGCACCACCCAGUUGCCCCUAGGUUGUUAUUACCAGUGAGAAUUAGAGAAAGUUCAUAACCCCUGGGGGCCCAAGUUUCUUCAUUUGAAAAAGAAGGAAGUUGCACUAGAUGACCUCUGAGGUUCCUCCCAUUCCUGAAGUGAUGAUUCAACGAUCCCACGGUUUCCUCCUUUGAAUGAAGAUUCUGGGCACCCUCAGGUGCAGUUCACUGUAGCCCACACGGAUCUGAACGCAGGACAAGGAGGAGAUGUUUGGGGAAGUAGCCUGAGGUAUCACCGUGGAGAACAUUUAGGCUUGGGAAGACUGUCUCUACCCCCACAGCUCUG